rfam:Colletotrichum fioriniae PJ7 Scaffold_495.1, whole genome shotgun sequence.
GCGGACAUAGCUCAGUUGGGAGAGCGUCAGACUGAAGUGGAAUUCAUUCCUGAAAACUUCAUUCAAAUUAUCUGAAGGUCGUGUGUUCAAUCCACACUGGCCGCA